rnacentral:rRNA from 1 species
GGUAACAUGGGUUGCGUUGUGUGGAGUCCGAAGGAAGAAGGUCGUUACCGCCGAAACUGGCCCCGUCGCGAGGAGGAGCGGUCGGAGGAACGAGAGCGUCGGUAGUGGUCGCCGUUGUGGCUUCCACUGUAGGAGAUGAGCGUUUCCGUCCGCACCUUCCUGGGGUUGUUGCACGACGUCUCGACCCUAGGCUGCGAACAGUUGGGGACGUGAACCAUGGUACAGUGGACGUUGUUGCAAUUGAGGCAGUAGGCUCACCUGAACCCCUUACGUCCGGAGAGUCCGCGGGACCAAGGACCUGACCCUGCUUACCACUUGGAAGUCAUGGACCUCGACAAACCCUUGUUGUAGUCACCUGGCUAAGGUCGUUGGGAGCCGUUGGACUGUGCGGACCAGUCGGAACUAGAGAUACUGUUGGCAGAGUGGCCGCGCUAUGGUCGGAGCGAGCCCUUGUAGCUCUGCGACGCAAAGGACUCCGACGUACCCUUGUUCGAACGUCCACCUUAUGGCCGCAGCAACCCGGCAGACUUCUUCGAAGUCCGGAACCUCGAGGUCCUUUUGUACGACUCGCCGUGCCACGGCGCCCUCCAAGAGAGGGAACAAGAACAGCCCCUGAACUGACUCGAAUUGCAACGUUUCUUGUCAGACCGGCCGUGACAGUUUAGAAGAUUUGGUUCUCAUCGAUGACAGUAGGUCCUGUGCGAGUUCUGAUGUGCAGAUGUGCGACUCGUCGUGACUGUUGGACUUGAAAACUCUGGGGACUGUGGUGGCACCUCGGAGAAAAGACACCGGUCGACCUCGAAAGACUUGGGUGGACGUACUACGUGGUGUACUCCGGUUAAUUCACACACCGGAAACUUCCUUGGAAUUGACCUUCCGCAAAAAUACCAACAGGUUACGUCUCACUUCCACAAUUGACACCACAAUGACUCACCCAACUGUUCGGGACCGUAGGUUAAGAAGUCUUAACGAACAGGUCCGACACCCUGUACAUGGUACUUGUCUUAACACCGUCCCAUCAACUAUUCGUCUUCAUACUCUUCGUAAACCGGUUCGAAUUCUGACUUUUACCGUUCGACACGUAACUCAUGUGUUUCGAACAGGUUCUACAUAGGUUCUACAAGCUAACCGUCCUACCAUCCCAUCCGGUGUACUUAUUGGUCUUCCGUCAACUCCUCCUUCUUAAACUCUUCUUCUUCUUUCUGCAUCUUCUCUCCCGAUCCAACCUCCAAGUCUACCUCUUCGAGUUUGAACGGUUCCUUGUCUCCACGUAAAAUGUCUCAGUUCGACUGUAAUAGUUCUUUUGGUCCUUCCGUUUCUUCCUCCAACUUGUCCUCUCUCUAAACGAAUUCUAUCUCUUCCGGUUCGAACUCGUACACCACUUACUCGACGACUCACUACCCGUACGUUCGUUCCUCUUUGAACUCUUUUAGUUCCGGUAGGAACUAAGUACU